UGGGUAACCUGCCUUAUAGUGGGGGAUAGCCUUUCGAAAGGAAGAUUAAUACCGCAUAAGAUUGUAGUAUCGCAUGAUAUAGCAAUUAAAGGAGCAAUCCGCUAUAAGAUGGACCCGCGUCGCAUUAGCUAGUUGGUGAGGUAAUGGCUCACCAAGGCGACGAUGCGUAGCCGACCUGAGAGGGUGAACGGCCACAUUGGGACUGAGACACGGCCCAGACUCCUACGGGAGGCAGCAUG
rnacentral:rRNA from 1 species